UCAUAUGAUGAGAUCCUUAGCUCUAGAUCUGGAGCUGCACUUGCAGCCACGACCGACAAUCUACCAUGUAUUCUGAUUU
rnacentral:snoRNA from 1 species